GAUGAACGCUGGCGGCGUGGAUAAGGCAUGCAAGUCGAACGCUCCGAUUUCGGUCGGAGAGUGGCAAACGGGUUAGUAACACGUAACUAUCUGCCCGAUACUCAGGCAUAACUUAGAGAAAUCUAAGCUAAUUCCUGAUAGUCCCUGCUUCGGUAGGGUAAAGGCGCAAGCCGGUAUCGGAUGAGGUUGCGGCCUAUCAGCUUGUUGGUGAGGUAAUAGCUCACCAAGGCUAUGACGGGUAGGGGGUGUGAGAGCAUGGCCCCCAACAAGGGCACUGAGACACGGGCCUUACUCCUACGGGAGGCAGCAGUCGAGAAUCUUCCGCAAUGGGCGAAAGCCUGACGGAGCGACGCCGCGUGCUUGAAGAAGCCUUAAGGUGUAAAGAGCUUUUCUGGAGGAAUAACCCCGUUUUUAAGAAAGCGGGGUGAAGGUACUCCAGGAAUAAGGAGCCUCUAAACUCGUGCCAGCAGAGGCGGUAAUACGAGUGCUCCAAGCGUUAUCCGGAUUCACUGGGCGUAAAGCGUCUGUAGGCGGUCAGAAAAGUUUUUGGUUAAAGCUCAGGGCUUAACCUUGAGAAUGCCAAAAAUACUCUUUGACUAGAGGGUGCCAGGGGUUGUUGGAACCGACGGUGUAGGGGUGAAAUCCGUUGAUAUCGUCGGGAACACCAAAAGCGAAGGCAUUCAACUGGGGCACCCUGACGCUGAGAGACGAAAGCGUGGGGAGCAAAAAGGAUUAGAUACCCUUGUAGUCCACGCCGUAAACGAUGGACACUGGCUAUUGUAAGUGUCGACCUUGCAGUGGCGAAGCUAACGCGUUAAGUGUCCCGCCUGGGAAGUACAACGGCAACGUUGAAACUCAAAGGAAUAGACGGGGAUCCACACAAGCGGUGGACCAUGUGGCUUAAUUCGACAACAAGCGAGGAACCUUACCAGGACUUGACAGAUAGUGAACCCUGAUGAAAGUUAGGGCACCACAAGGACACUAGUCCAGGUGCUGCAUGGUUGUCGUCAGCAGGUGGCUUGAGUUGCUCCCUUAAAUGGGGUAACCUGCGCAACCCCUACUCUAUGUUUUAAUUGUCAUAGAGAACUGCCCGAGACAAUCGGGAGGAAGGCGGGGAUGACGCCAAAUCAGCAUGGCCCUUAUGUCCUGGGCUGCACACGUGGUACAAUGGGGCCGACAACGAGUUGUGAAGCGGUAACGUGGAACCAAUCUCUUAAACGGUCUCUCAGUUCGGAUUGAGGUCUGCAAUUUGACCUCAUGAAGCCGGAAUCGCUAGUAAUCGCUAAUCAGCAUGUAGCGAUGAAUAUGUUCCUGGAUCUUGUACUCACCGCCCGUCACAUCAGGAAAGCUAGCAAUACCCGAAGUCCGCUCUGGCGGCCUAAGGUAAGGUUAGUGAU
rnacentral:rRNA from 1 species